UGUCGGGUAAGUUCCGACCCGCACGAAAGGCGUAACGAUUUGGGCACUGUCUCAACAACAGACUCGGUGAAAUUGUAAUUCCGGUGAAGAUGCCGGAUACCUGCGACAGGACGGAAAGACCCCAUGGUGCUUUACUGUAGCUUGACAUUGGGUCUUGGUACUACAUGUACAGGAUAGGUGGGAGGCUUUGAAACCAGGACGCCAGUUUUGGCGGAGCCAUCCUUGGGAUACCACCCUUGUAGUACUGGGACUCUUACCAUACGCCAUGUAUCUGGUCUUGG
rnacentral:rRNA from 1 species